UUACACCACCCAAGGCCCAGCUUCCAUUCUCCAAUCACAUAAUAGUAAAUCCUGAAGGGCACGGUGACGAGAAAGAUGAAGUGGGCGAAGAUGAGGUUGAGUACAGCAAUGGAGGUGGUGGACGAAGAGGCGGACUUCAAGCUGAUGAUCUGAUUAAGAAGCGGCAGGCCCUGUUUUUGCUGCAGACUGGAGUGUGUGAGGGAUGGCACGUACGCACACACAGCCACGUGAAACAUCUGUAGAGUUUGACAGGUGCAGUGGCGUUCUCUGUCGUGAUGACCAGAGGUAACAGACUGAAGUGAAGAGAGUGAGCAGACCUGCACAUGUACUGAGCAAACAAAAUAUUUUACUUUAUUGUUAUGGAUAUGUUUAUACAUAAAGCUUAGUU